AAAAUGUGCGGAGAGGGUGGAGAGUGGAAACGCCCCACCCAAGGCUGUUCUCUCACCCAGUCCCACCUCUCCCAGGUAACUUGUUAAUAAUUAACUGUAUUUUGUGUUUUUUCAGUGCACAUUUUGAAAAAUUAUAUGAAUUUUAAACACAGAUGGAAUCAUACUUUACAUUUACUUUCUGUAACUUCUUUUUUCCACUUAAUAUUUCUUGGACAUCUUCCCCUGUCAGUACACCUGUCUCAUUUUUUUUACAGCAUAGAAUUUUCCAUGGUAUGGCUGUACCAUAAUUUAUUUAACCCAUCCCUUAUUGGUGGACAUUUAGGUUGUUUCCAGUAUUUUGCUAUCACAACGCUUCCGUGAACACCUCGAGCACAUGUGCAAGUAUACCUGGGGGAUAGAUUCUGCAGUGUAAUUGCUGUGCCACAGGGUAUGACCAUCUUCCAUUCUGAUAGAUGUUGAGACCGCUGCUUCUUGAAACCUUAGGGCCCAGGCCUACCUGGGGCAGGGGAGGAUAGUGGGGGUGGGGGAGGAGAUCCCUACAACUGGUUGUUCAUCUUCCCCAGCUGCGGCUUGAUGAGACCCAGGAGGCAGAGUUCCAGGCCCUUCGGCAGCAGCUUCAACAGGAGCUGGAGCUGCUCAACGCUUACCAGAGCAAGAUCAAGAUCCGCACAGAGAGCCAGCACGAGAGGGAGCUGCGGGAGCUGGAGCAGAGGGUCGCGCUGCGGCGGGCACUGCUGGAGCAGCGGGUGGAAGAGGAGCUGCUGGCCCUGCAGACAGGACGCUCUGAGCGAAUCCGCAGUCUGCUUGAGCGGCAGGCCCGUGAGAUCGAGG
rnacentral:lncRNA from 1 species